AUUAGGAGCUUUCGGCUGGUUGCUGCUUACCGCCAUUAAAGUUAUACUGCCUGGGGGAGUACAGGUAGCAAGAUUAAUUUUUCAAAGGUAUUGACCGGGGGCUUGCACAAGACGGUUGGAGCAUGUGGUUUAAUUCGAAGCUACGCCCAGAACCUUACCAGCCUUAGACAUUCCCUGUUCGCGAGGAGAAGAGAUCCUUCAAUUCAGUUCGCCUGGACCGGUGACAGGUGCUGCAUGGCAGUCAUACACCUAGNGUCGUGAGAUGUUGGGUUAAGUCCCCGCAACGAGCGCAACCCUCGUCAAAAAAUUGCCAUCAUUCAGUUGGGAACUCUAAGGAAACCGCCGGUGAUAAGCCGGAGGAAGGUGGGGAUGUCGUCAAGUCCUCAUGUCCGUGACAGGGUGGUCUACACACGUCCUACAAUGUAGAUGACAGUGGGCAGCUAUCCCGCAAGGGGGAGCUAAUCUCUGAAAGUUGUCUCAGUUCGGAUUGUCCUCUGCAACUCGAGGGCAUGAAGGCGGAAUCGUUAGUAAUCGCGGAUCAGCAUGACGCGAUGAAUACCAUCUCCGACCNNAACACACCGCCCGUCACACCAUAAGAUUUGGUUUCGCCCGAAGGUGGUGCCCUAACCGGGAGGCCGCCUCCCACGGCCGGGUCAAUGACUGGGGUCGAAGUCGUAACAAGGUAACCGUA
rnacentral:rRNA from 1 species